rnacentral:rRNA from 1 species
AGAGUUUGAUCCUGGCUCAGGAUGAACGCUAGCGACAGGCUUAACACAUGCAAGUCGAGGAGCAGCACAAGUAACAAUACCGGGUGGCGACCGGAGCACGGGUGAGUAACGCGUAUGCAACUUGCCUAUCAUGGGGGGAUAACCCGGCGAAAGUCAGACUAAUACCGCAUGAAGCAAGGGCCCCGCAUGGGGAUAUUUGCUAAAAAUUCAUCGAUGAUAGAUAGGCAUGCGUUCCAUUAGGCAGUUGGUGAGGUAAUGGCCCACCAAGGCAACGAUCGAGUAGCCGGACUGAGAGGUUGAACGGCCACAUUGGGACUGAGACACAGCCCAGACUCCUACGGGAGGCAGCAGUGGGGAAUAUUGCACAAUGGGGGAAACCCUGAUGCAGCGACGCCGCGUGGAGGAAGAAGGUCUUCGGAUUGUAAACUCCUGUUGUUGAGGAAGAUAAUGACGGUACACAACAAGGAAGUGACGUGCUAACUACGUGCCAGCAGCCGCGGUAAAACGUAGGUCACAAGCGUUGUCCAGAAUUACUGGGUGUAAAGGGAGCGCAGGCGGGAAGACAAGUUGGAAGUGAAAUCUAUGGGCUCAUACCCAUAAACUGCUUUCUAAACUGUUUUUCUUGAGUAGUGCAGAGGUAGGCGGAAUUCCCGGUGUAGCGGUGGAAUGAGUAGAUAUCGUGAGGAACACCAGUGGUGAAGGCGGCAUAUUGGGCACCAACUUACGAUGAGGCUCGAAAGUGUGGGUAGCAAACAGGAUUAGAUACCAUGGUAGUCCACCCCGUAAACGAUGAUUACUAGGUGUUGGAGGAUUGAUCCCUUCAGUGCCGCAGUUAACACAAUAAGUAAUCCACGUGGGGAGUACGACUGCAAGGUUGAAACUCAAAGGAAUUGACGGGGGCCCGCACAAGCAGUGGAGUAUGUGGUUUAAUUUGACGCAACGCGCAGAACCUUACCAAGUCUUGACAUCCUGAUGUCGAUGCUGGAAACAGUAUUUUCCUUCGGGACGCAGAGACAGGUGGUGCAUGGUUGUCGUCAGCUCGUGUCGUGAGAUGUUGGGUUAAGUCCCGCAACGAGCGCAACCCUUACUGUCAGUUACUACGCAAGAGGAAUUUGGCAGGACUGCCGUUGACAAAACGGAGGAAGGUGGGGAAGACGUCAAAUCAUCAUGCCCCUUAUGAUUUGGGCUACACACGUAGUACAAAGGGGUUAAACAAAGAGAAGCAAGCCCGCGAGGUGGAGCAAAUCUCAGAAACAACGUCCCAGUUCGGACUGCAGGCUGCAACUCGCUUGCAGGAAGUGGGAAUUGUUAGUAAUGGUGGAUCAGCAUGCCACGGUGAAUACGUUCCCGGGCCUUGCACACACCGCCCGUCA